GUGUCAGCCGCCGCGGUAAUACGGAGGGUGCGAGCGUUAAUCGGAAUGACUGGGCGUAAAGGGCAUGUAGGCGGAUAACUAAGUUAGGUGUGAAAGCCCUGGGCUCAACCUAGGAAUUGCACUUAAAACUGGUUAACUAGAGUAUUGUAGAGGAAGGUAGAAUUCCACGUGUAGCGGUGAAAUGCGUAGAGAUGUGGAGGAAUACCGGUGGCGAAGGCGGCCUUCUGGACAGAUACUGACGCUGAGAUGCGAAAGCGUGGGGAGCAAACAGGAUUAGAUACCCUGGUAGUCCACGCUGUAAACGAUGUCGAUUUGGAGUUUGUUGCCUAGAGUGAUGGGCUCCGAAGCUAACGCGAUAAAUCGACCGCCUGGGGAGUACGGCCGCAAGGUUAAAACUUAAAUAAAUUGACGG
rnacentral:rRNA from 1 species